CAGCCGCCGCGGGAAUACGUAGGUGGCAAGCGUUGUCCGGAAUUAUUGGGCGUAAAGGGCUCGCAGGCGGUUUCUUAAGUCUGAUGUGAAAGCCCCCGGCUCAACCGGGGAGGGUCAUUGGAAACUGGGAAACUUGAGUGCAGAAGAGGAGAGUGGAAUUCCACGUGUAGCGGUGAAAUGCGUAGAGGUGUGGAGGAACACCAGUGGCGAAGGCGACUCUCUGGUCUGUAACUGACGCUGAGGAGCGAAAGCGUGGGGAGCGAACAGGAUUAGAUACCCGUGUAGUCCCUGUCUCUUAUAC
rnacentral:rRNA from 1 species